rnacentral:rRNA from 1 species
UACGGGGGGGAGCAAGCGUUGUCCGGAUUUAUUGGGCGUAAAGAGCUCGUAGGCGGUUCAGUAAGUCGGGUGUGAAAACUUUGGGCUUAACCCAAAGCGUGCAUCCGAUACUGCUGUGACUUGAGUUCGGUAGGGGAGUGGGGAAUUCCUAGUGUAGCGGUGAAAUGCGCAGAUAUUAGGAGGAACACCGGUGGCGAAGGCGCCACUCUGGGCCGAAACUGACGCUGAGGAGCGAAAGCAUGGGUAGCAAACAGGG